GGGGGAAGUAGUGGAUCAUUAAGAUGGGUUGAUGGUAGUGAAGUAAAUGAUAAUCAAGAAGAAGUUUAUGAUAAAAAUGAAGAGAUUAUUAGAGAAAAUAAUUAUGGAUCUGUUAGAAGAAGGCUUAAAAAGCCAAAAAGAGUGGAUUCUUUGGAUGUUGAAUCUAUGCAAAUUAAAGGAGGGAAUGGUGGUAGCCAACAUAUAAAGGAUGUGCCUCUUUUAGCUACUCUUUCUCUAGCAUUUCAAACACUUGGUGUGGUAUAUGGUGAUAUGGGAACAAGUCCUUUAUAUGUUUUCUCAGAUGUAUUCAGUAAGGUUCACAUCACUUCAGAAGUUGAUGUCUUAGGUGCAUUGUCGAUUGUGUUAUACACAAUCGCGCUCAUUCCUCUAAUGAAGUAUGUGUUUAUCGUGCUUAAGGCCAACGACAAUGGUGAAGGAGGAACAUUUGCGUUGUAUUCAUUGAUCUGUAGGUAUGCAAAUGUCAAUCUUCUUCCUAAUCGUACGCCUGCUGAUGAAUGUAUCUCGAGUUUUAAGCUCAGAUUGCCUACUCCAGAGCUACAAAGAGCUGUGUAUAUAAAGGAGAUAUUGGAACGUAAAUCGUUGUUGAAAACGAUUCUAUUGCUUUUGGUUCUGAUGGGAACAUCAAUGAUAAUUGGAGAUGGUAUCUUGACACCAGCAAUAUCAGUUAUGUCUGCUGUUAGCGGACUGGAGGGUAGGAUACCGGGAUUUAAUACAGAUGCUCUCGUAAUAAUUUCAAUUAUCAUCCUUGGCGGGUUGUUCAGCAUACAGAGAUUUGGGUCAAGUAAAGUUGGUUUCACUUUUGCUCCUGCUCUAGCAUUGUGGUUCUUCUGUCUGGGUUCGAUAGGAAUUUACAAUCUGCUGAAGUUUGAUGUAACUGUUGUAAGGGCAGUAAAUCCAACUUAUAUCUAUCUGUUCUUUAAGAAGAACUCGACCAACGGAUGGUCAGCUCUUGGUGGUUGCGUAUUAUGCAUAACAGGAGCAGAAGCAAUGUUUGCGGAUUUAGGUCAUUUUUCUGUGCUGUCUAUACAGGUGUUUUUGCCAUUGUCCCUUCACAUUCAUAUACUUGACUUAACAUAAUAUCUAACAGCACACGCUUCAUUUCUGAUGCAAGUUGUCUCGUGCAGAUUGCCUUCACGAGCGUGGUGUUCCCCUGCCUUCUGUUAGCUUACUUGGGCCAAGCUGCUUUUCUUAUGAAAUACCCUCAAUCAGCUGGCAGAAUAUUUUAUGAUUCAGUCCCAAAUACUUUCUUCUGGCCAGUUUUUGUGAUAGCAACUAUAGCUGCAAUAAUUGCCAGUCAGGCUAUGAUAUCUGCUUCAUUUUCAUGUGUUAAGCAAGCUAUGGCUCUCGGAUGCUUCCCGAGGGUGAAGAUUAUUCACACCUCAAAAGAGCAUAUGGGGCAAAUCUACAUUCCAGUAAUCAAUUGGUUCCUGAUGAUAAUGUGCAUGCUUGUGGUUGCUGCAUUUAGAAGCACAACAAGUAUAGCCAACGCAUACGGUAUAGCUGAGGUCGGUGUCAUGAUGGUUACGACGACUUUGGUUACAAUUGUUAUGGUACUGAUAUGGCAGACAAAUUUGAUUUUGGCUUUGUGUUUCCCCUUAAUAUUUGGAACAAUGGAGGUUGUGUACAUGUCUGCUGUUUUAUCAAAGAUCUUAGAAGGAGGUUGGCUUCCACUCGUUUUCGCCUCUCUGUUCCUCUGUGUGAUGUACAUAUGGAACUAUGGAAGUGUACUGAAAUAUCAAAGUGAAGUUAAGCAAAAAAUCUCAUUGGAUUUCAUGGAUGAACUUGGGUGUAGUUUAGGUACAGUAAGAGUACCAGGGAUAGGCUUACUCUAUAAUGAACUAGUUCAAGGCAUUCCAUCGAUUUUUACGCA
rnacentral:misc_RNA from 1 species